rnacentral:rRNA from 1 species
AGCAGCCGCGGUAAUUCCAGCUCCAAUAGCGUAUAUUAAAGUUGCUGCAGUUAAAAAGCUCGUAGUUGAAUUUCGGGACUAAUAUGUCGGUCGUGCCUCGGUACGUACUGGUAUUUUGGUUUCUCCCUUCUGACGAACCUUGAUGUCAUUAAUUUGGUGUCUUGGGAAAUCAGGACUGUUACUUUGAAAAAAUUUAGAGUGUUUAAAGCAGGCUCACGCUUGAAUACAUUAGCAUGGAAUAAUGAAAUAGGACGUUUGAUCCUAUUUUGUUGGUUUCUAGGAUCGACGUAAUGAUUAAUAGGGAUAGUUGGGGGCAUUAGUAUUCAAUUGUCAGAGGUGAAAUUCUUGGAUUUAUUGAAGACUAACUACUGCGAAAGCAUUUGCCAAGGAUGUUUUCAUUAAUCAAGAACGAAAGUUAGGGGAUCGAAGACGAUCAGAUACCGUCGUAGUCUUAACCAUAAACUAUGCCGACUAGGGAUCGGAUGAUGUUAAUUUUUUAAUGACUCAUUCGGCGCCUUAC